rnacentral:misc_RNA from 1 species
GAUGAAGAACGUAGCGAAAUGCGAUAAGUAGUGUGAAUUGCAGACUUUAGUGAAUCAUCGAAUCUUUGAACGCACAUUGCGCCCCUUGGUAUUCCAUUGGGCAUGCCUGUUCGAGCGUCAUUUACACCCUCAAGCUCCGCUUGGUGUUGGGCGUCUGUCCCCGCUACCCGCGUGGGACUCGCCCCAAAGACAUUGGCAGCGGCUUCGCCGGCUUCUUGCGCAGCACUUUGCGCUCCACGAGGCUUUUGGCGGGCCCGCGUCCAUCACGAACCCCCCAGUUUGACCUCGAAUCAGGUAGGGAUACCCGCUGAACUUAAGCAUAUCAAUAAGCGGAGGA